AUUGAACGCUAGCGGGAUGCUUUACACAUGCAAGUCGAACGGAGUGGCGGACGGGUGAGUAAUAUAUCGGAACGUGCCCAAUAGCGGGGGAUAACUACUCGAAAGGGUAGCUAAUACCGCAUACUAUUAGAGGGGCCGAUAUGGGAUUAGCUAGUUGGUGGGGUAAAGGCUCACCAAGGCGACGAUCCGUAGCUGGUUUGCGAGGACGACCAGCCACACUGGGACUGAGACACGGACCAGAAUCCUACGGGAGGCAGCAGUGGGGAAUUUUGGACAAUGGGGGAAACCCUGAUCCAGCCAUCCCGCGUGUAUGAUGAAGGCCUUCGGGUUGUAAAGUACUUUUGGCGGAGAGGCGGUAUCCGCAGAAGAAGCACCGGCUAACUCCGUGCCAGCAGCCGCGGUAAUUC
rnacentral:rRNA from 1 species